rnacentral:rRNA from 1 species
GACGAACGCUGGCGGCGUGCUUAACACAUGCAAGUCGAACGGAAAGGCCCCUUUGGGGGUACUCGAGUGGCGAACGGGUGAGUAACACGUGAGUAACCUGCCCUUGCCUUCGGGAUAACUUCAGGAAACUGGGGCUAAUACCGGAUAGGAAUCCUUGCUGCAUGGGGGGGGUUGGAAAGCUUUGGCGGUUUUGGAUGGACUCGCGGCUUAUCAGCUUGUUGGUGGGGUAGUGGCUUACCAAGGCUUUGACGGGUAGCCGGCCGGUGAGGGCGACCGGCCACAUUGGGACUGAGAUACGGCCCAGACGCCGACGGGAGGCAGAAGUGGGGAAUAUUGCACAAGGGGCGGAAGCCUGAUGAAGCAACGCCGCGUGCGGGAUGACGGCCUUCGGGUUGUAAACCGCUUUCAGCAGGGGCGAAGCUUGUGGUGACGGUACCUGCAGAAGAAGCACCGGCUAACUACGUG